GAGGGUAUAGCUCAACAGUAGAGGGUGUGCUUAACACACACGGGGUCCUGGGUUCAACCCCCAGUACCUCUG
rnacentral:tRNA from 1 species